rnacentral:rRNA from 1 species
GUGAAGCCAGAGAGGUUGGAUCAAAGUACCAAGUGGGCCAUUUUUGGUAAUGUGGGAUGAACCAAACGCAGAGUUAAGGCGCCUAAAUCGACGCUCAUGAGACACCAUGAAAGGCGUUGGUUGCUUAAGACAGCAGGAGGGUGGUCCUGGAAGUCGAAAUCCCCUAAGGAGUGUGUAACAACUCACCUGCCGAAGCAACUAGCCCUGAAAAUGGAUGGCGCUGUAGCGUCGUGCCUAUACUCUGCCGUCAACGGCAAAUAGUUGGCAAAAAAAAAAAUAUUUAUAUUUUUUUUACUGAGCUAUUAAGCUUUGACGAGUAGGAGGGUCGCGGCGAUGAGCGCARAAGGGCUUAGGCGUAAGCCUGCCUGGAGCCGUCGCCGGUGCAGAUCUUGGUGGUAGUAGCAAAUACUCCAGCGAGGUCCUGGAGGACUGUUGUGGAGAAGGGUUUCUUGUGAACAGCUGUUGCACAAGAGUCAGUCGAUCCUAAGCUCUAGGAGAAAUCCUAAGUUUAAAUAGGUACCAUUACAAACAAAUAAAUAAAUGACUGACGGUACCUGUUGAGCGAAAGGGAAUCCGGUUCCUAUUCCGGAACCUGGCAGCGGAACCGUUCCAAAUCGAGCCCUCGUAUGAGAACUCGUCGGGGUGACCCAAAAAGACCCGGAGACGCCGUUGGAAGAUUCGGGGAGAGUUGUCUCUUCUCUAUAAGCGUUCGAGUUCCCUGGAAUCCUCUAGCAGGGAGAUAGGGUUUGGAACGCGAAGAGCACCGCAGUUACGGCGGUGUCCGAAUUUUUCCUUCGGACCUUGAAAAUCCGGGAGAGGGCAACGAGGAACACCGCGCCAGAUCGUACCCAUAUCCGCA